AUUGAACGCUGGCGGCAUGCUUUACACAUGCAAGUCGGACGGCAGCACAGAGAAGCUUGCUUCUUGGGUGGCGAGUGGCGAACGGGUGAGUAAUAUAUCGGAACGUACCGAGUAAUGGGGGAUAACUAAUCGAAAGAUUAGCUAAUACCGCAUAUUCUCUGAGGAGGAAAGCAGGGGACCUUCGGGCCUUGCGUUAUUCGAGCGGCCGAUAUCUGAUUAGCUAGUUGGUGGGGUAAAGGCCUACCAAGGCGACGAUCAGUAGCGGGUCUGAGGGGAUGAUCCCCCACCCUGGGGCUGACACCCGCCCCGGCGCCCGAGGGGGGGCGCAGGGGGGGAAUUUUGGAAAAUGGGCGGAACCCUGACCCAGCCAUGCCGGGUGUUUGAAGAAGGCCUUCGGGUGGUAAAGGCUUUUUUUGGGGGAAAAAAAGGUUGUUCCUAAACCCAGCGGGUGUGACGGGUACCGGAAAAAAAAGCCCCGCCUACCUCCGG
rnacentral:rRNA from 1 species